rnacentral:lncRNA from 1 species
GCUUGAGCAGAGUUGUUCUAAAAAUGUGUCCAAAUUCUCUUUGCUCUUUAUAAGAUCAGCUGAGAUCUUGUCACGUAAAGAAGGCGCCGUGCGACCAGGGCAGGCUGUGUGAUGUGCACAGGGCCGGAGAAUACCCACCCGAGGGGCUGGACUUCAUCGGGGCUCCCACGUGGUGCUGCCCCCAACCCCGGGCAGAAGGCACCUCGAGCUGGGGGGGGGGGGAGGGAGCCCAGGGCUGGCCAGACUCAGCUCAUCUGGCCCAGGAGAGGGAGGAGCUAGCUUGUGCACGAGGCCGAGGGAGAGGGAACUGAGCAGUACCAGAUUCCCCUGAGCACGGAGGGGACCCCGGCAGAGGGGCGCAGGGCCCCAGACGUGGGGAGGGAGCCUCAGAGGUCCUUCCCAAGCAACGGGGAGCUGAGGAUGCGGGACCAGCGGGAGUGCAGCAAAGCCACCAGGAAAGUCCAUGAGGUCGCACACUUUGGCCCAGGCAGGAAGCACAGGCCAGCGGCUGACCCCACGCCGCCAGGCUGACAGGUCCCAGGCGUGUGGCCCGGGUGAUGCCCGGGCCCCACCAGGCCAAGAGGCUUCAAAGCCGAGGCGAGGAGCCUGGGGACGCUCCCGGGGCUGCCAUAGGCCGGCUGACACUUUGCAAGCACGGUCAUGUUCUGUUUGCGACCCGCCGCGGUGGCAGGCCGGGAAGCGGUCCCCGGAGGGCAUGUGCGCACCAAGUCCCCGGAAUCUUGCGGUGGGGUCUUGUGUGGGCAAAAGGUCUUUGCAGGUGUGAGUAACGAAAGGGUCUUGACACAAGAGCAUCCUGGAUUAUCUGGCGAGCGUCCUCCGGAGACACGGGAAGGGACGCAGAGAAGGGGCGGAGGCCGUGUGACGACGCAGAGGCAGAGAGAUGUCUCCACCAGACGCCGCACAGGGCAGGAAGCCUCCCCGGGAGUCUGUGGAGGGAGCAUGGCGUGUGGACACCUUUGCCUCAGGAGACACCCACCUGAUCUGGGAAGCCUUCAACCACUAGAGGUGCUUCAACGAUGCAGAUCCAGACGGACAUCGCUAGUGACACAUCACCUCUGAGCCUGCAGGGCCCAUCCUUGCAAGGAGCCGUGAGCACCAUCGUCGCCCUCGGCGCGGAAGCGGCCAAAUCCUGGGGGGAACGCCCCGCGGUUAUAAUAAGCUUUCUCACGAUGGGCCUUGGGAGGAAUUAGAAAUAUAAUUUUUCAGGCGCUUACAAAAUAUCAAGUAAUUGGAGCUUCUGCACAUAAAAGGGGCACACCAUGAGAUAUGUGGCUCCCUUUUUAAAAGAACCUAUUUAUAUAUUAAAACAAUAAAAUACGUCCAAGGGAGCGCUGGCCCCA